ensembl:lncRNA
CAAGAUGAGCUGAAGAGGUGAUUCAAGAUAGCUGGCGUGGCUUUGUUAAGGGCAGAUUGUACCUGACCAAUCUGGUGGCCUUCUGUGAUGGAGUAAUGGCAUCGGUGGACAGGGGAAGGGCAACGCGUGUCAUCUAUCUGGAGUUCUGCAAAGCCUUUGACGUGGUCCCUCACCACAUCGUUCUCUCUAAACUGGGGAGGUGUGGAUUUGAAGGAUGGACUGUUCAGUGGAUUAGGAAUUGGCUGAUUGGACGCAGCCAAAGGGUUGUGAUGAAUGGUUCUGUGUCAGGGUGGAGGCUGUGUAUGGAAGUGUGACUGCUACCUUUCUUGGGUGAUGUGAAACUGAUAGAAGGCAGCUGUAUCUACUGUCUCCUAUUCUUAAAAACAGUUACUGGGAUUUUUCAUUGUUCUUGCUGACUGUUCUGUUGAACGUAAAUAAGAUGGAGGUCAAUUUUUUUUUUUUUUUUUUUGUCUGUAGCUUCUAAAAAAAUGUUUUUUUGAUUAAAAAAUACUCUAGAACUAAUUUGUCGUGUUCUGUAGAAUGCUUUCUUUUCCCUUGAUACUGUAUAUAUUGUUGCCUUUUGACCAAAAUGUGAAAAACAUGCCCACUUGGUACAGGCAAUAAGGGAGGUGAAGUACUGGAGAGGAAAUUAAUGAAAAAUCUAAUGAAGAGAAAAUGUAAAUGUGUUAUGUCCU